rnacentral:lncRNA from 11 species
GCAAACGGAUGGACAGUCGGAACGGGUUAAUGGGCUCUUAGAGCAGUAUUUGCGUUGUUUUUGUUUAGAUCAACCCACGGCUUGGGUGAAGUGGUUACCGGUGGCGGAGUUCGCUUACAACAAUGCGGUGCACACGUCUAGUCAGCAUACGCCAUUUGAGCUAACUUAUGGUUUUCACCCACGGGGAGGUGUGGCGCCGUCGACCAAUGUGGUCUCUUCGGACCCUGUGUACCGCUCUUCGGAAAUGGCUGCAUUGCAUGAUGUUGCCCGUCGCUUACUGUUGGAAGCUAAGGCAACGCAAAAGACUCAGGCUGACCGCCACAGGCAGGCAGGGGAGGAGUUGGAAGAAGGGGAUUUGGUGUGGUUAUCUUCCAAACAUAUUAAACAGGCUGGGGGAAAGUUUGCGCCUCGGUAUUUGGGUCCCUUUCCUAUCGUUAAAAAGAUUUCUUCCGUUGCGUUUCGUUUGCGUUUACCGUCUAGUUUAAAGGUCCAUCCAGUCUUCCAUCGUUCGCUGUUGAAACUCGAUACCUCCAGUCGUCGUGGUGCUAUAGCGGAGGGUAUCACUGCCACUUCUCCGCCAUCGGGGGAGGAGGCCUUUGUGAGAGGGGAUAGUGUUAUGAUUGAGCCUCAUGGCUCUGUUACUGACAGACGUGGGCGUAAGACUCCUCGAGAGCCAGAUACUCUCGAGGAGCGAGAAAGAAAAAGACUGCGAGACAUUUUUGCAGCACCAUCUGACGAAGAGUCUUUUGAGGGGUUUACGGAGAGAAUGGAGGAGGGGCUGGUUAGCUCGGAGGAGGAUGAGAUGGAUUGGACUCGGCUUGACCUUCCGUCGUCUUCUUGACGGACGCCAUCUCCUGCUUUGAAAUUCGGACUGAACUGACCACGGCUUGACUUCCCCCUUCUUGGACUUGGAAACUACAAACGUCUGCUUCUGGCUUUGAUCUACGGAAAGGAACUGGGUCUACUCUACUGCUACAAUCCUUGGCUGAUCUGUUCGUGUUGGAAAUCCUGUCUGCUGUGUGUGUGGGAGCGACGCAAGUUACUCUAAGCACAGUGUUGGCAGCAGAGAGGAAUCUGCUGCCAAUUAGUUGCAUUCUUUUGUAUCUUUUGUUCCUCGGCUUUUGUUUUGUUUAUCCCCAGGCUGAAGCAAGCAGUUUGUUUUUACCCGGAUUAAACCCCGGUUUAAUCCGGUUUAUCUUUUGAACGUUUUUCCUUGUCCCUUUUUGCUCCUAAAGGCUAAUACUGCCUGGCCCUUGUAUUUUACGGGCAUUUUUGAGUUCUGUAAUCCAAUAAACUCUGUUAUCUUGAAUCUUGU